UAAUAAUAUCUAAAAUAAUAUUUUACUCAGAAAAAUAAUUUCAAUUUUUAAAAUUAAAAUUCAAUGUCAAACAAGACUAAUUUGCAUCCCAUUGUCACUCACCCAACCCAAUUCCAGGAGAGCUCACCCUUAAUUUCAUAGGCCAAUUCCCUAACUUAAAAUUCAAUGAUACUGUUUACCUUCUAUUUCUUCCCUACUGUAUACGAUCUGAGUAGAGCAACAGCUUAAAAAAUCAAAAUCAAGCACACCCACCUACAUGCAGAAUGAGAGGACCAGAGAGGAGAGAUGAUCUCCACCGAUGAUCAGUUUCACUAACUCCAUCAUGGUCAAAUCACAAACUACUGAUCUUACGGUCAAUGAUGACUCCAACGCCAAAUAUCAUCAAUCUUUCAAAAACUACAAUUCAAACAACCGUUGGAUCAAAAAAGUGAAAAAAAGAAAUUACCCCUUAAAAAACAAUCCCGACGAUUCUAUCAAUUCUCUUUUUGGGAACCGCCGUAUACCUGAAGAUUCUGUGCAGAAAAGCACGUAGGAAGCCUUCUCUGCAACAGCAACCCACAAAACAGCCCUCCAUCGUCCGAUGAUGACCUCAAAUGAUUCGUUCCCGCCAAAUCUCUAAGUCCGUUCCAGUCCUUCAAUGCCGUUGAAGCAGCUGAAGAUGAAGAAGUCGUGGAGUCGGCACCAUCAGAGAAAUCUCCCGAAUCUCCACAAGAAUUUUCGCCGUGUGUAUCCUCUUCCAUCGAAAUCGACUUCUUUAAAUCACGAUGCCGCAGAUGAUGAAUACUCUCCCCCAUAAGAUCACGAUAACCAAUAGCCGAUGCUCCAUUUAGGGUCGCGAAAUCAGAGCCGUCGUUGAUGAUAGCACCGAUGUUGAGCACCCCUUGGAAUCUUCCAGACGGACGACGAAUCUGUAGAGCAAUGAAGGAGGGAGUUCUCAUUUCUUUGGUGGGGGAAAAGACUGGGAUGUUGCUGAUAAAGAAACGGACGGUGCCGAGGAGUGGAUCACGGAGGCAACCGACGGCAUAGAUUUCAAAUGAAACACCGGAGGUCUCGCUAGAAAGGAAUUCAGGAGUGACUUUGAAGAGGAACUUGUCGUUCCAAGUCGGGUUCUCGCCGCCGACUCGGUCGAUUCGGGUUCGGAGCUUGGUGGAGGAAUCGACCCAAACCACUGCAUACGUUUGCAACCGGCGUAGGUUAGCAGAUGGCGGCUUUAGACUUUGGGCAGAGAUCAAGUUGAUCUCUAGAAUCUUCGUCUCCAUCUUCGUCUCUCUCUCUCUCUAUUUCUUUCUUGAUUUUGCUAGGAAAUGGACGAUUCUGAAAUGAUCAAGAAAGAAGAAAGAUUGACUAAUGGUUCUGACUAAAACCAAGAAAAGGGUACUGACGGCGAUACAUGGUGGCCGCAAUUUAUGCCGCUCGCCGGAGUAGCGAGGAGGAAAAGGGAGAAGAGGGAAGUGAUGGUUGAAACUUGAAACUAUAGCGAUGGAAUGACGAAAAUAACCUUAGUUUGGGGGUGAUGUAGGGGUAUUUAGCAGUUGACGAAUUUUGAGACUAGUGGCACCGUGGCAAAGUAUGAUACGUGAUCCAGCAUCCCAAUGGGUUGUUAAGUUCUCUUGGAAUUUUUGAUUCACUGGAGGAGCCGUAUCUUGACAGACAGAUGAACAAAAGGAAGGCCCACCCAAGGAAUGUUGUUAAGUUCAUAAUUUGAAAAUUUAACACGAGCUAUUGGGCCUUUGGCAGUAGAAAGCCCACUAAUUUUAAAGUAAUUUUUCUUUUCUUUUUUUUUUGGAAUAUUAA
rnacentral:misc_RNA from 1 species